UACAGAGGGGGCAAGCGUUAUUCGGAAUUACUGGGCGUAAAGCGUGCGCAGGCGGUUUUGUAAGCCAGAUGUGAAAUCCCCGGGCUUAACCUGGGAAUGGCAUUUGGGACUGCAAGGCUUGAGUGCGGCAGAGGAGACUGGAAUUCCUGGUGUAGCAGUGAAAUGCGUAGAUAUCAGGAGGAACACCGAUGGCGAAGGCAGGUCUCUGGGCUGACACUGACGCUCAUGCACGAAAGCGUGGGGAGCAAACAGG
rnacentral:rRNA from 1 species